rnacentral:lncRNA from 1 species
UGGACAAUAACAACGCAUCAGAAGACUGUGUGCGGCUCGAAACCGCUCAUUGAAGUGACUCAAGCAUGCGCAAUGCAGCCCUGUGUCAAUUCAAGUAGCCCCAGUAGAGGCCAAGCAGAGCGGAGUGACUACUCGGGCUCGCGUAGCAGUCUCCCUUCCCAGUUCCUGUUUCCGCCUUUCAGUCUUCAGACAGCUUAACAACUUAAAGCAUCAUCGCCAGGCAGAAAAUAGACCUUGAAGAAAUCCAAGCUUUAUGAGAAAGAAGUUGCCCUCUGAAGUCCGUUGUGAGUGGUCUGUGAGGUGUGUGUUAAGAGGGAAGUAUUCUACAAGGCCACUUCAUAGAGACCCAGAGAGACAUCUGUCAAUCAGUCAGUCAGGACUACAAAGACACAGAGGGUGACAGACCAGACUACCAGACCCAGGAUCAGCACACGCCCAGUCCAGCCUAGACCAGAGAGGACUCGGACAUCCUAACUCCCUGGAGGAACCAUAGCCAUGCAUUAACUA